UACGUAGGGUGCGAGCGUUAAUCGGAAUUACUGGGCGUAAAGCGUGCGUAGGCGGUUCGCUGUGUCCGAUGUGAAAGCCCCGGGCUUAACCUGGGAAUGGCAUUGGAAACUGGCGGGCUUGAGUGCGGCAGAGGGGGGUGGAAUUCCGCGUGUAGCAGUGAAAUGCGUAGAGAUGCGGAGGAACACCGAUGGCGAAGGCGGCAUCCUGGACCAACACUGACACUGAAAAGCGAAAGCCAGGGGAGCAAACGGG
rnacentral:rRNA from 1 species